UACGGAGGGUGCAAGCGUUGCUCGGAAUCACUGGGCGUAAAGCGUCCGCAGGCGGCUUGUUAAGUCGGGUGUGAAAGCCCGGGGCUCAACCCCGGAACUGCAUUCGAAACUGGCAGGCUCGAGUACGGGAGAGGGAAGUGGAAUUCCUGGUGUAGAGGUGAAAUUCGUAGAUAUCAGGAGGAACACCUGUGGCGAAAGCGGCUUCCUGGCCCGAUACUGACGCUCAUGGACGAAAGCGUGGGGAGCAAACAGG
rnacentral:rRNA from 1 species